AGUUUGUAAUUUUACAGACAAAGCAAGUGACACUGGGAUAAGGUAGGUGUUAUUCAGAUUUUUUCCAAGUUCUAUAAACAUCUAUGUGAUCUCCACUCUUUUUAUAGAUAGAUAAUGUGCAAGAUUUGAUAGAAGUGAAUGAACAGAAUAUAACAGAAAUUUCAGGACAUGUUUAUUCAUGAGCACACAAUGAAGGUCAUAGUAGGCUGCUACCAGGCUAAAAAUGCUAUACAUUAACAACAACAACAACAACAACAACAACAACAAAAACCCAACAACAUACACAGUGCGAUAUUGGGGAAACAUGGUAAAUACUAAAGAUUUGAAAAUAUUUGUCUAGAGAGACAGGUUAAUAAAUCUGAAUGUUUGAUAGUGAAUUAAGAGAGUCAACUUAACCAUUACAUAUACAGAUGAUAGAACUGAUGUUGUCUCACUUUUUGCCAAGGGUGGAUCAAGGGUGACCGGAGGCAAGAAUUAAUGUGGAAAUCUGGGUCUCUGUCUUGACUUGAGAAAACAAAGAAUAAGAAGUCACCAUCUUCAAAUCCUCAGAUCAAAGGCUUAGAUAAACUUUCUGGAUCAGAAGUUCAGAAUGACAGCUUACAUUGCCACCUAGUGUCCACUAGAUGGAGGCCGCGAACAGCCUUCUGGGAAGCUGCGGAUGGGCAGGGUCUGCAGCUGCGCAGAGAAUGAAAUGGAGGGUCAAACACAGACAAGGCCGACCACUCCACCCGAUGAAAGGCUUGUCAGAGCAAUCCUGUAGAUUUCCACUUUCUUUUCAUUGAAAAGAGGACAUUUUUACAUCGACUAUCUACAGGUCUACCACCAGGUUAAAUGUGACCACGUUUAUGAUCAACUUCUGUAGAACAUGAAUUGUCUACCUCAUUUUAUCUCUUUAUCAGCAGAAUAUGAAAGAAUUGAAAUACUACAGAGGAAGAUAUGAAGAGUUACAGCUAGCAAGUAUGGACCAUUCUGUCAGAAGAUGGCAUUGGAUCUCUGAGAACUGGAGUCAUUGAUGGUUGUGAGUUACCAUGUGAAUGUUGGCAAUGGAACCCAAGUCCUUUGGAAGAGCACCCAGUGCUCUUAACCUAAACCAUAUCUCUAGAUAGAGUCACCUUGCCUUUGUUGUUGUUACUGUUUUUUCUAUUGUUGUUGUCAUUUGACAGAGUCUCUCAUGGGGACACAAGUUUCACAGAUUUUGCAGACUGCAUGGCCAGGAUGCUCCAGGGACAUGGCUGUCUUGACUUUCCAGUGUUGUGAGUUAUAAGCACAUACCUCUGUGCUUCCCCCAUUUUUGUUUUUGUUUUGGUAUUUUUUGAGAUAAUUUCUCUGUGUAUCCAUGGCUGUCCUAGAACUGGCUCUGUAGACCUGGCUGGUCUCAAAAUCCUUGAUCUGCUUGCUUGUCUCUCAAGUUCUAGGACUGAAGAUGUAUACCACCAUCGCCCCAUGGUCAUGAGGAAGCAAUGAGAAUCUGAUUAAGAACCGAUUACUUGGAUAAGGUUGAGAUACUUCACUUAUAAAGAACAGUUAUCCAGAAGCAGAACUACAGAAGACAAAAAGCAAGAUCUACCUGAAGACCAAGCUCUACCCAAAAGACACCUCACCAUGCCACAGCAACAGGAUCCUAACAUGGCUGCCCUAUGAGAGGCCCAUCAAGCAGCUGACUGAGACAGAUGCAGAUACUUACACCCAACCAAUGUACUGAAGUCGGGGACUACUGUGCUUGAAUUAGGGAAAGGCUAGAAGAAGCUGAAGAGGAGAUCUACCCCAUAGGAAGACCAGCAGUCUCCACUCACCUGGUCCCCUGAGAUGUCUCAGACACUGAGCCACCCACCAGCAGCAUACAAGAACUGGUCCAAGGACUCUGAUAUGUAUAAAGCAGAGGACUCUCUGGUCUGGCCUCAGUGAGAGAAUACUUGCCUAACCCUCAAGAGACUUGAGGCCCCAGAGAGUGGGGAGGUCUGGUGGGGAGGUGGUAACAUCCUUUUAGGAAGGGGUGGGAGGAGGACUGGGAUGAGGAACUGUGGGAGGAUAGACCAGAAGUAGGGUAAUGACUGGACUGUAAAAAAUAAAAGUAGAAAAUAAAAACAAAUUAUAUAUGUAUAUUUUAUUCCCAGUAGGUCUAUGUCUUUGAAUACCUGUCUGUUGCCUUCAGUGGCCAGAAGAUGGUGUGAGAUCCCCUGGAACUGGAAUUACAGACAUUCGUGAGUUGCUGUGUGUGUUCAGGAAAUUGAACCUAGGUUCUCUGGAAGAGCACACAGUACUUUUAAUUACUGAGCCAUACCUCCAAUACCUCUUCAGAGUUCUGUUUCUUCAUUUAUUUCUUACGUAUUGUAUCCUAACCAGAGUUUUCAAUCUUUCCUCUCCUUUGAGUCAGUCUUUCCCACCUGUUCUCUCCCCCGAGACCUUUUCUGUAUUCUUAAAUCAUGUUUGUCUCUAAUGUGCUGUCUUGCUUGUGAAGUUUUGUUAUUAGGUUACAUGGUCAUCUAUAAAAGACUUGUUGUAAGCUUUAAAUCUGUGUUUUGAUUUUCAAAAGAUCAUAGAGGAGAUUUAUUGUUUUCAAAAACAUUGCCUAUAUUACAAUAUGAACACCCUCUAUGCUCAUUUAGUUGGUUCAUUGUUAGCUGUCAACAUGACAGAAUCUGAAAUCAACUUGGAGACAAGCCCUUGGGACAUUACCUUGGUUGUUUGAAGAACCAUGAUAAUUGUAGCUAGGAACAUCCCCGGGCAGGAGAUCCUAGAUUGUAUAAGAUAAAGGCAGGCUGAGUGCUAGCAUGAACUAGAAUGAACCCAUGUUCAUUACUCUCUGCUUUUUAUUUUGAGAAUGUAUUCUGAUCACUAGAUCCCCUCUCUUAACUUAUACCUAACCUUCCCCCCAACUCAACUCACUCAGCUCCAUACUUUCUUCCCCUCUUUCUCUAGAAAGCAUGUGGACAAGUUCCCUGCUUCUUAGUUGUGGAUAGAACAUGAUCAGUUCUCUUCUACAAAAUGCCACUAUGACUUCCCCAAUGACGGAAUGUAACUUGAAAUUACAAGUUAAAAUAAACUUUUCUGCAUUUUUUCCUAGUGAAAUUACUUCAACUCAACAUGGAAUUAUUCCCACAAACCAUCAGAUUAUCCCGAAGGGGACCUGACCACCUCAGCCUUCAGGAAGACUUCCUUCAUGGAUCUCCAUUUGGAUUUCUGGACAGAAAAACAGCAACCCUGAAUAGAGGCCUGAAAGGCAUAUCAUUUAGGACUGAGUGUUCCAAUUCUCUCAUUCUCUGCACAUUGUUCAGAUUCAUGAGGCCUGAGGGGAACGGUUCGAUGAAAGCAUCUUAUUCAGGACAAUUCUCUCACUCUCUGUAUAUUAUCCAGUUGUGGCUUUCUGGGCCAGUUCCCAUCUACUACAAGAAGCUUCUCUGAUGAGACAUGCAGAAUACCUUCCAACUCCAUGAAUAUUAGAGGUGAAGCUUCUAGCUGGGCAUUGGCUCUAUUUCUCGAUGUUUGAUGACAUAAUCUCACCCUGAUCUAUGCUGAACUUAGACUCGGAGAAGGUACUUCUUUCUGGUCUGCUGAGGAGCUUUUAUUAAGAGAGAGAUCACACACAUAGCUGGUGAUAUUUCUGAUAUGGAGUCUUACUGUACUUCUUAGUGAGGUUGCAAACUUCAAGCACUAAUGCCACGCUUCCUGUCAGCAUCAUGAGAAGAUCACAUGGAGACUACUACCCUGAUCUAAGGUAUUAUAAAGUCAUUUGCUUCCCAACAUUUGUUUUUGAUUUUCCAUUAUUUAUAUACAUAAUUAGAUUGAAGUUUAUAUUUUCUUAUGCUUUAUAAUUUUCAUUCACUAUUUUGAUCUGGAAAUAAUAAAAUUCACUUAUGGUUCCAAGUCUCAGAGGAGAGUUGGUCUCAGAGCCAGGGUGAGACACUAAACUUUCUGGAUAUCAGAAUCCUCACAACAUUUGGUCAUGACAGAAAACAAGGUGAACUGUGUGAUCACCGUUCCUGAGAUUGCACAAAACAUAGUGAACAAGGCAGCAUUAGGCAAAAUUAAAUUUGCAGUGCUCUUUCAUAUUUCCAGUGUAGUCCAGAAUUUGUUUACUUUUGUCAGGUUCCUUAAAAAGUUUCCAUUCCAGGAGGUGUAUUCUGGCAAUAACUGUUGUUUUUAUUGUUCUUCUCAGUGAAUAUUUCAUGCAUAGAAUCAUACCUACUUAUGUGUAUUACAUAUGUAACCUUUUAUUAAUUAUCUAUACUAUAUUUUGAUUAAUUUUUCUCUCUCAAUGUCAUCCAUAUUCUUCCUAUCUCCCUACCCAAGUAAUUUAAUGUUAUCUCUAUUCUAUCUUUAAUAAAAAAUGAAUAUGCAAAGAAACAGAAAAGUCUACCAAACCAAACCAAACCAAACCAAAACCUAUCACAACCCAGUACACAAUGAAAUAGCAAAGAAAUCAAACAUGGAUUUUAUUUUAUUUUGGCCCUAGAUUGUGGUUGAUAUUUUCAAUAACUCCAUUUGAGAAACAAGAUUCUAUUUUCUUACAGAUAUAAACUACAAAUUCCUUACUGAUGAGGAGUAGGACUUUGUGGUCACAUCCUCAAUCAAUGCUGCAGUUGUGAUCCAUGGCAAGGGAAGAACAUGAAGUCAGGACUGCUUGAUCAGCUGAAACAGACACUCAAAAAUACUCAAUACUGCAAGGCCCUUUUUCCUUAAAAUCUUAGAUCACUUAACUAGCAUGGCAUAGUUAAGAUGAUGGAGCAUACCUAGGAAGUUUAUUCACACGCUGGGAUACCAAAGCCUUCUUACUGUCCACAGCAUUCUUAGAUACUUCCUUUUCAAUGUGAAUCUAGCAGAGGCAAAAUAAGGUUUAUAGGUGUUCAUAUAGUAAUUAAGAAUUAUACAGAGAGUAUUUAUGCACAAACAGUGUGGAUAUAGAGGCGCAAUUCUGCAACUCAUGUGUUAAUCUUUCACUUUUUAAAGGAGCUGUUCACUAGAGAGUAGCUGUAAGGAAUGGAAAAUUUGAACCAUUGGGGAAGAUUGAGGAAGCAGAGAUGAUCAUCAAUUGGGAGUAUGAUGUAAUAAUUUUCAAUAAGGGGAUGUGGAUGCGGACUACAAGAUCAUCCACUAAGGAAGAACAUUCAUUGUCAUGGAUGUGAGACAUUAGGUACUAUUCUUCCAUACAAAUAAGGAGGAGGAUUUUCUGGUUUAGCCUAGAGAGAUGGAUCUGGAUAGGCACUGAAGAAAAGAGCGGCAGACAUCUGAUUUCAAGUUGUCAACGAUAUAAGACCUGAAACCUAGAGGCCAUCAAAGAGAAAGACAUUUGCAAUGGACACACGACUAGUUCCUCCCUUGGAAUGCCACAGCAACAACCAAAGUAUCACCAAGAAGCUGUAGAGGCAAUAUGACUACAAAUAAGGUUACUGAGAAAUGUGUCUAAUGGUGAGUUCCAGCCCUGAGAGAUACUUCUGAUCUAAGGGUUGAUUAUUAGACUUGUAAACUUCAAUUAAUAUACAGUGUGUUCUUGUCACCAAUUAUUUCUACCCAUCACUUCAGUGAGGGCUAACUGUUUAGACUUGGUAUAUAGUGUCUGCUUGUCUGCAUCUGUUUCCAUCAGUCACUACAAUAAUCCAGUACCAUGAUGACAAGAAAGUAGCCAGCACACACAUGGAACUCUUGUGCCAAUUACAGGAACACCAACUUUGUUACAGUGUGCCAAGCCUCAGCUGCUCUACAAGACCUUCAAGUCUUCAAACAUCUCACCACCUGAAUCACAUUUAUACACCAACUUUGGCUGCCAGCAUGAAGCAUAAUGAUCAAGACUGGAAAACAGCUUUUGUGUGGGUCUCACCAUGCUGCUUAUGAUAAUCUCAAACUCAGGCACUGAGGACUUUCUUCUCUCCCAAGUUAUGAGAAGCUUUUUCCGAAUAUACCUCGCUGGUGAAUGUCACAUCAAUAACAGAAGAAUCAGUAAGCAGCUGCAAAAGCAACAUGGCUACUACUGCGGCUACUGAAAAAUAUGUCUAGUGGGUCUGACUGUGCUGCUCAAUGUUGUUGAAACUCAAGCAUUAAAGGCAUGCUUUCUCUCAUCAUCCUAAGAUUCUCACACUGGAGAUUGCUACUGUGAACUUCUGGAGCUGUUCACAAGAUAAUAUUUGAAAACGAUGGACAGUUUUAUGGGCCACAUUGAAGAAGAUUGAGGGGGCAGAGAAAUGGAAAUAUUAAGUGGAACAGCACAGACAAUUUCCCAUUUACUGAGAUAUCAGUCCUAAUUACAGGAAACUAAAAUUGACAUUAAAGGACCACUUAAGAGGACAACAUCUGAAAUAUUAUAGAAGAAAAUCGCAAGAUUCAUGUAGUAUAUGCGAGGUCCUCUGUUUAACAUUUGCAAGGAUAAGAAUUCAGGGUCAGGAGAAAUGGUCAUCUGAGAAGCAGAAUCAACAAGUCAAGAAAGCUCAUGAGCAAUUGAAUUUCACCACUUAGAUUUCUCAGAGGAAGAGUUUUUUGAACCAUGUCCCCAACAGUUUUGGACAAUGAAGCUCACUUUCAGCAACUGCUUCAAAGAUAUUCAUGACAUAAAAUAACAUUAUGAUUAUUCUAAGACAAGGCAACAUUCACAAAUUCUUGAAACUUUCCUUGCCAUGUUUUGUAAGAAAACAAAACAAAGGAGGGAAAGCAAGAAGAAAGAAUGUGGAAAGAAAGAAGACAAGCAUGGAAGAAGAAAUGAAAGAAAGGUGUGACAUGUCAGGAGAUUCAGCUGAAAAGGAAUUGGCAAGCAGGAAUGGAAGAUGAAGAAUGACAGUUGAGAGCAUGAACUCUGGUCAGGAGGGAGAUUUUCUCCAUGUGGAUAUCUAGAAGUAUUAUACUGAUGACAUUAGAAAUGACUCUGGAAUAUUAGUCUGAAGGGCAAUUUCCAUGCUGCUCAUUGUAGUCUCAUCUUUGAAACCAUGUUUCCUCUUCACAUCAUGAGAAGCUAAUGGUGCAGAUGCAAACCACAACACUCAGCUGAUGGUAUUGUAAAACACCUGCAUUCCAACACUCAAUUUUGAGAUUUGAGCACUGUCUUUGCUGAAAUUAUGUUUAGGUCUAUAUAUGACUUUAGUAAUUACUAUUUUCCAUACAAAAGAAUUAUUGCCUUUGCAAAACUUUUUUUUUUUUUUGCUUUAAGCUUUAAAAAAUGAAAAUUCCAAGUGUUUACUUUCCAAAACAAAUGGCUUCAGGAUGCUUUUUAGAAAAAUGUCCAAUAGAGAUGUCAACAAUUGUCAUCAUUGAAUACUUUUAAAAUGGCAAAUAUACUGAGGUACUUAAGACUAGCUAAUGUGUUAUUUCCCCUAAAGAUAAUCUUUUUGUAACUAACAUUUGAGUGUUUUUGUCUAAUCAUGAAUUUAGCUAAGGAUUCUCAAAGAUUUUUAUUUUAUAGUUUAAGAUGAUCAUGUAGAUUUUAUCAUUCUUUAUUUUAAUGUAGUUUGGUAAUUGAAAUGUUUGCAUAUCUUAAACCUAUAUAUUUAGAAAACUUUCUUCAGCAUCCUAAAAAUAUCUGACUAUGUGUUAAGUAUUUCGACUGCAUUAAUUAAUAUAUAUUUCAUGUAAUAUUUUCAAAUAAUGUAUUUUGAUCACAUUCUUUCUCAUUAUUAAAUUUGUCUCAGAUACUUCCUAUUUCCUUACCAACAUAAAAUUUAUGCAUCCAU